AUUCUGACCCACCCUAGGUACUUGAUGCCAGUUGCUCUGCUGUGUCUUCUGCCAGCCCAGACUGAGAUGAGCAAACUCCUGCUCCUCCUGCUGCUGGGGGCUUUUGUACUUGUGUUGAUCCAAGGCAGUUGUGGGUUGCCUGACCUGAGUGCUGAGACUCAAACUCGAGUUCUCUGCAGGAGCAGUACCUGCUGCCCAAGCAAUAAUAUGCAUGUCCUGCAACAUGUUUGUGAAUGGCAAAUGUAUAGAAGGUGAGGGUAAAUGCACCAUGGAGGAAGGUGGUGCAUGCAGAACUGGAGAUAUCUAUCAUUUCCAUCCAAGAGGUGGGUUUCUCUACAACCAUACUAUACUAGAAUGUUCUAAAUCAUGUAAGGCUUCAGAAGAGAGUUAUUUUCAUCUGAAAAUUUCAACCUUUU
ensembl:lincRNA